GCGGACAAGUGAAGGGCGGAGCUGUGGCAGAAGAGGCGGCGCGACGGAGCAGAAGGGGCGGCGCGACGGAGUAGGAGAAGAUGGUGCGGUGCGGCGGGCGGAGAAGAGUUUUGGUGAUGAGCUUGUGGCGACGCUGGACCAGCUGCUGCUGCCCUCAUGCGCCGUCGCCGUGGGAGGACCUCGUUGGCGCUGCGAAGGGGGCACAACUCAGGUUGGGUACGCCGUCGGCCAUCGCCGGCGGCGAGCACGCUCCACUGUGACAUGUCCGCCACAGCCUGUCCUCUCCCGCCUCCCCCCACUCUGUGUCCUUGUCCAACGCAAAUCAAUGGAGCUACCGACCCAGAUUGUUGUUGGCUGCUAUAAGAAGGGAGGGUCCUCGGCUCGAAUCUCCAUCAGGUUAGUUUUGGACGAAGCAUCCAAUGUCGACACCGAGUUCACCGCAGGAAGAAGCGCCGAUUUCGCCAGAGGUAGAAGAAGCGCCGAGUUCGGCGAAGGUAGAAGAACAGCCGUCGAGGUGUCCAAUGUCGCCUGCGUCGGCUAUAGCAGAAGACCUUAAGAUCAGCGAUGAACAUACGUCGAGCCGUCCAAUAUUUCCUGUGGCACCAACACCAGAGAAAAUAGAUGACAUCACUGAACUGAACAUUGCAGAGGAUUUUGAUAACCGACCUUCCAAAAAGGCAAAAAUUUCUGAAUCAGGUGUUCUGGAACCAUCACCUAUGUCACCAGCUAUGAAAACAUCUUCUCCAUGUUCAGAGUGUUUUGAAUCGAUCAUGCCGGAAUCAGAUAAUCAGAUGAAUCAUGAUACACUACCAUCACCUCCAUCCCCAUCUAGCUCGACAAUAUCUCAUGUUUCUCCAUUGCAUGAUGUUAAGGAACCAGAUUCACAUAAAGAGAUUAAAGUUGAUGAGACAUAUGAUUAUCUCCCACAAGACUAUACAUUGACCGACCAUGAUCUAUGUGCUCAUAUAGCAAUAGAAUCAUCUUUUAGAAAACAAUUGUUGGUUCAGAUAGAUGGACGUUCUGUCUUGCAACAUUAAUUGAUGUGCCUGCUAGAUGCAAAAGAGUGGGUAAAUGAUGAUGUGAUCAAUGCAUGUAUAUGUUGUAUAAAGGACCAAAUACAUCUCCAGAAUGAUAAUAAAGUAUAUUUUGAGAGUCCAUUUGUUACCUCACUAUUUAAACGAGAUGGCACCAUUGGAAUACAAGAAGAUAGUGCCUUCAUGACAGAGACUGUCCUUGAAUAUAUGCAGCAUGACAUGAUUAAACUUCCAAUAAAUGCCAAUAACACACAUUGGUAUUUAGCUGUUGUGAAUACAAAAAAAAUGUGAGGUUCAAGUACUAGACUCAUUGUGCUGGAAUUCUGACAGAGAUGAUCUCGCUAAUACGCUACGAGGAAUACAAUUUCAUUUGGACCUUCUUAAAAGUCAAAAGUUGGAAAGUAUGGAUUUAGAGUUCAAAAUCAUAUCCAAUAAGCUUGUCUCUUAGAAAACUACAAGGAAUGCUAAAGGAUGAUUUACCCAUGGACCGAGAUUGCUUUAACUUGAUCGUACGAAAGAUUAUGUUGGAUGACAUCCAAACAUCACAAAAAAAGCAAUUGAUAGCAAAGCAUUAUCUGGACAUGAAAUUUUGGAUGGCUACUGAUUUUGGAAGGCACCCAGAUUUCCGUAAAAAGUUAGAUGUGGAGCAACUAGCAAAAUCUGUUCGUAGUUGGCCCGGUAUCAAAUAUAAUGUUUCAACAUGCAAAUCGGUAAGAGCACUUUUGUAUAUUUUAGAGCAAUUUUUUAUUAUUGCAUCUAAUAUCUAGCCUAUUUCAGAUCCAUAUCCCAGUACAAUCCAUUGAUGAAUUCAUUCUAUUCACAUUGGACCAAGAUACAAGAACAUUAUACAUUUUGGACCCUACUCCUUUUAAUCCAAUAUACCGAACAACCCACUCGCAAAAUAUUUGAAAAAAUUAUAUGGAUUAACGAACACUUACCGAAAGCAAUGUCAAAUGCAUGCCCUGGGUCUAGAUGGAACGAGGAUAUUCUCCUAUGGCAUCAUAAAAUCCUAGAUGAUAUUCCAGUUUACAACAGGGAACUGUCUGGUUAUCUUGUUCCCCUAUUCAUGUCCACAUGGGAAGAUGAAAGACCACAUUUGCCAUUUUUAAAAGUAAAUAUUGCAACCAUGUAGAUAUUUGCUUUUAUGAUUAUUAUACAUCUAAUGCUGAUGUCAUUCUUUUACAAAAAAAUGAAUGAAUUGGAUGGAUAUGAACUCAGAAAACUAAUUUUGGGCCAAGUGCUAACAUUCAAGGACAAUGAAUGUGAAGAUAACAUGCCUGCUGGUGUAUUGGAAUUCAUCAAUUGUAUUAGGAAAAUCCAAAAUUAAAUUGGGAGCUCAAUCGGUGGAAGGUGAUUUGUCAGAGAGAAUUCUUGCAGCCAACAAUUAAUAGACAAUGAGCAGGGAGACAAUGACAAUUAAUAAUAGAUUUUGGUUUCUACUUAAGAUAUCGCUUACAUAUAUGUAGAAAAACUUUGGAGCUUGCCAGGAUAUAGUUUUUUUGGGGUUACCAAUUAUAAGCGAUGAUGGAGUGCUUCAAAAUUUGAUGUUUGGGGGUUCAAACAUGACAAUACUGUGGAAAUCACAAAUAAUACAAAAUCAUGUACUGUGUUGAUCAAUAAUUAUUUUAUAGUUUGUUUCUAG
rnacentral:rRNA from 1 species